rnacentral:rRNA from 1 species
AUGGCUCCCAAGGAGAGCACCAGCAGCAAGCUUACCAUGAAGCUCCUGGUGAACUCCAAGACCCAGCGCGUUCUGUACGCUGAGGCCGGCAAGGAAGUCGUCGACUUCCUCUUCUCCCUCCUCACCUUGCCGGUGGGCACGGUCGUCAAGCUUCUGAGCACCGACACCAUGGUCGGCAGCGUCGGCAACCUGUACGGCAGCGUCGAGAAGCUCGACGACACCUACAUCAGCCGUGAGGACGCCAAGAAAGCCCUUCUCACCCCUGUCGCUGGUUGUCAGGGCGGCAUGCUGCUCCAGCUUGAGGCAGCGCCGCCUGAAUCCGCUUACUUCUACCGUUGCAACAGCUCCAUCCACAGCUACCCAAACUGCAGAAGCUACGUGACCAAGGUAAGUGGCUCAACGUGCAAGAGUUGCCACACUAAGAUGACCACGCAGCUGGUGGAGGUUGUGGAUCCGGACGCUGGCGCGGUGCCUUCUGCUGCUGCUGGAGCUGGGUUCGUGCAGAGGAUCGUGACGUACACUGUGAUGGACGACCUGAAGGUGUCGCCCAUGUCUUCCAUCUCUGGGAUCACACUCCUCAACAAGUGUGGGGUCACGGACAUCGGGUCGCUCCAGGAGAAGACCGUGCAGCUUGGCUACGAUGAGGGACUGGAGAUACUGAAGGCGUCGCUGCAGUCAAAGACGGUUCUCACUGACGUCUUCCUUCUGAAGAAGCGCAAGGGGUGA